CCGGCUGGCGCGCCGCUCACCUCCUGCAGCAGCAGCAGCAGCAGCACCCGGGGUCCCGCAGCAUAAGUUCUGCCGGCAAGUCGGCUCCCCGCAGCGCCCAGACGCAAGCCACUUCCGUUCCUCCGCUACUUCAGACCCGGUCAAGCUAACGGAAGUGCUUCCUUUUUAUAGUCCGGGUGGACGCAAGUUCCGUGGCGGCACUGAGCCUUAGGGCAACCACUAGCCUUGGGACUUACGCGGCAACUGAGCGCCUCAAAGGGGGAAAGGGUCCUGAAGCUCUCUAAGGUGGCUUUGAAAUAGGUCCACACAUUCUUCCACAUUCCUUUCUUCAAGAGGUGGAGCCUGAUUCCCCUCCCCUUGAGUGUGGGCUGAACUUAGUGACUCACUUCUAAUGAACAGAACCACGGUCUGUGGCUUCCAAGACUGGGUCAUAAGAGGCACUGUUUGUGGCUUCCUCCUUGCUCUAUCUUCUGUCUCACUGUGGGGAAAGCCAACUGCCAUAUCAUGAGAAGACUCAAGCAGCAGCUCUAGGGUUAGGCCUGCAUGGUGAGGCACUGAGACCUCAUGACCAUAAGCAGUAUUGGAAUGGAUCCUCCGACCCCAGUCAAGCCUUCAGAUGACUGCAGCCCUGGCCGACAACUUGACUGCAACCUCAUGAGCAACUCUGAGACAAGAACAGCCCAGCUUAGCCCCUCCCAAAUUCCUGACCCACAGAACCUAGGACAUAAUGAAUAUUUGUCAUUUUAAGCUGCAAAAUUCAGGGUCAUUUGUCUGCUAAAUUUGGGGUAAUUUGUCACACAAAAAUAAAUAACCAAUACACUCUCUUUGGCCC